rnacentral:rRNA from 1 species
UAGGGAAUCUUCGGCAAUGGACGAAAGUCUGACCGAGCAACGCCGCGUGAGUGAAGAAGGUUUUCGGAUCGUAAAACUCUGUUGGUAGAGAAGAACGUUGGUGAGAGUGGAAAGCUCAUCAAGUGACGGUAACUACCCAGAAAGGGACGGCUAACUACGGGCCAG